rnacentral:rRNA from 1 species
ACGGGUGAGUAAUACAUCGGAACGUAUCCUGGAGUGGGGGAUAGCCCGGCGAAAGCCGGAUUAAUACCGCAUACGCUCUGAGGAGGAAAGCGGGGGACCUUCGGGCCUCGCGCUCAAGGGGCGGCCGAUGGCGGAUUAGGUAGUUGGUGGGGUAAAGGCCUACCAAGCCGACGAUCCGUAGCUGGCCUGAGAGGACGACCAGCCACACUGGGACUGAGACACGGCCCAGACUCCUACGGGAGGCAGCAGUGGGGAAUUUUGGACAAUGGGGGCAACCCUGAUCCAGCAAUGCCGCGUGUGUGAAGAAGGCCUUCGGGUUGUAAAGCACUUUUGUCCGGAAAGAAAUCAUCGGGGCCAAUACCCCUGGUGGAUGACGGUACCGGAAGAAUAAGCACCGGCUAACUACGUGCCAGCAGCCGCGGUAAUACGUAGGGUGCGAGCGUUAAUCGGAAUUACUGGGCGUAAAGCGUGCGCAGGCGGUGCUGUAAGACCGAUGUGAAAUCCCCGGGCUUAACCUGGGAACUGCAUUGGUGACUGCAGCGCUGGAGUAUGGCAGAGGGGGGUGGAAUUCUACGU